rnacentral:tRNA from 1 species
GAGGGUAUAGCUCAGCGGUGGAGCCCACGCUUAGCAUACCCGAGGUCCUGGGUUCAAUCCCUAGUACCUCCA